CAUUUAGACAUCUAUGGUCAUUAACACUGACUCAUUCUUAAAGUGAUUCUGUAGUACAGAAUUCUACUUUUGCAAGUAGAGGUUAUAUAAUUCUGUAGAGACUUUAAGCCAGAGUUUGUAAGUUUAACAGGUAUUUUUUUCCUUUUAGUCAGAUAAUAAACAUUUAUUACAUCCGUGGGUGAAUGGAAGUGGUUUACUAAUAUGCAAGUAGGUUUAACUUUUAUGUAAUUUUUGUAAUUGUUCUGUAAGGAAAGGAACAUUGAAAAAUGGUACUUGGGUAUUUGUUCUUUUUUUCCCUACUGGCCUCCUGUGACAAGUAUUGAAUGAAUAUGCUUCGCCCAUAUAUAUAAUCUAUUUUAACAGAAAAGUGCCUUUUCAUUGGCCUGAAGAGCCUUACUCCAUUUUCCUGUAAAUACAUGUUUUUUGUUUUUCAAUUACAGUUGACAUUCAGUAUUAUUUGUCAAUAAAUAUUUGCAAUAUAUUUGUACAUAUGCGAAGUUCAUUGUAGAGUCCCGUGUGAAUUUUUUUCAUAUAUAUCCUUUGCUUGUCAUUGCUUUUGGCUGGGUUUGAACUAUGAUGAUUGCAUUAAGAAGAGAAUACCUGUGAUAGGACAAUAAGAUCUAGAGUCAGAGAUGACCCUUCCUGACUCUGUUAGGUCAGCGUGAGGAAUGUUGUGAACUGUAUUUUCCACAAUCUGGUGCCUUAAUGGUUCUGUGUUAGAAAUCACUAAGGCCUCACUUCCAUGAAACUUGAAUGCAGAGGUAAAAUAGGAUUAGAUUGGUUUUGAAUCCACUUGUAUAAAGGAGAUGGCCAGAAGCAUAGAGCUUUUGUGUACAUUUGCUUUGAGUUUGUUUCCUCAAUCUUUGCCCAGCCAGCAAAAAAUAUCCUCAAAACCGCCAGCGACUGCUUCAUUUCCCUUGAUGUCAGGUGUAAGCUUUACAGUUGUUCAGAAUUCACCAUUAAAGAUCCAGCAUAGGUUGGCUUUUCCUGCAAGCCCAUAGGUGUCCACCAGGCAACAAACAUAGAUGGUCACGGUUGAGGCUGUUUUCUGAAGGGUGUGCACUGUUCUCUAGCUUGCAUUUGCAUGAGGUCUAAUUUGACUAGUCAUAAUCUUGUCCUGUUGUUACUACUACUGACUGUGAUUCAGAUCCCACUGUGACAGCUGCCAUGGUGCAGUGCCAAGGAGCCCCGUGACAGUUUGCUCUUGUACCACCCUCUGCAGUGAGGGCUCUGAGCCAGUCCUUCCAUGUGAGAAUCGGCACUUUCCCCAUUGCAGGCAGACUCUGAUGUGUGCUGUCACUCAGAGCUGAGCCUAAUCUCUCAAUGUUGUCAGUUAUCUUUGCAUGUGAUUAAAAUUAUGUGCAUUUUUUCUCUCUAA